UGUACAACUGUAAUUCCCGCGCCUCCAUUACUGUGUCUUUGUCAACUCCCUACUAGGGAGUCCCUAGUAGUGUAUGUAUAUUGUAUGUAUGGUAUAUCAUAUCAUAUGUGUGUUAUUACACACAUAUAUUCAUCUCUCAUAAGCAUCCACUGCAGUAACAAUAAUUUACAUUCCUUUUUCCUUUAUCAAUUGUUCUUUCAGGAAGGUUGAUUCAUUUUCUUCAAUCGUUCGUUCAUCUUCACACUUCUCUCGAAUUUCCUCUCUUUCUCUCUCUAAAAUCUCCAUGAUUCACGCUUACUAAAUACGCCACGCAUGAUUGCCGUCGCGAAUUCUCUGUUCGCACCCUCUAAUGCUUUCACAAAACUCAUCACUGUACGCUAUUAUUCCGGUUCAGUGGUCCGUUCCGAUCUAGGGUUUGGAUCGGAACUUGGCGCCAAACAAUAUAAGGUAUCACUGGAUCGGAAGAGUAACGAGAUGGAACUGAUUCGAAAAUUGAGCAGAGGUUGCUUCAUGGUUCGGUCAAUGAAGGGGGUUGAAUCCGUCAACCACGACGAAGAUGGAUUCGAUGUGGCCUCGGCAGAGUCAAAGGUUCGCCCCGAGCACCUUAUAAUCAUGGUUAAUGGGAUUAUUGGGAGUGCUGCAGAUUGGAGAUAUGCUGCUAAGCAGUUUGUUGAAAGGCUUCCUGAUAAAGUUAUUGUUCAUUGCAGUGAGUGCAAUAGUUCAAGAUUGACUUUUGAUGGUGUAGACAGGAUGGGUGAGAGGCUAGCUGAAGAGGUGUUGGCCGUUGUCAAGCGUUGGCCUGAGGUGCAGAAGAUCUCCUUUGUGGCACACUCUUUGGGUGGCCUUGUUGCAAGGUAUGCUAUUGGGGUACUGUAUGAAAAUUUUCCCAAAAUGGGAUCCUCAGAUCUUACUGGGAGCUACUCGUGUGGAGAGCAUUUAAAUAAUUCAAAGCGAGAUCUUAAGCAUCAUUAUGAUGGUAGAGUUGCUGGACUGGAACCUAUGAAUUUUAUAACAUUUGCGACACCACAUCUUGGUUCAAGGGGACAUAAACAGCUGCCAUUCCUUUGCGGCCUUCCUUUUUUGGAAAGAAGGGCUCCUCAAACUGCACACUGGAUUGUUGGGAGAUCCGGGAAGCAUCUGUUCCUUACAGACAAUGAUGAUGGGAGACCCCCCCUUCUCCUUCAGAUGGUUAAUGACUCUGAUGACCUAAAAUUCAUGUCUGCUUUACGCUCUUUUAAGCGUCGUGUAGCGUAUGCAAAUGCAAAUUACGACCAUGUGGUUGGGUGGAGAACAUCAUCAAUCCGCCGUCAACAUGAACUUCCAAAGUCUAAUCUUCUUGUAAAGGAUGAGAAGUACCCGCAUAUUGUAUAUAUAGAGCCAGAAACUACUGAAGACAUCCAUAAUAAAGCAAUAUCCAUGGUUGAAAAACAAGCAAAAGACUUGGAAGAGGAGAUGAUUAGAGGUCUCACUCAAGUACCUUGGCAUCGUGUUGAUGUUAGCUUUCACAAAAGUAGACAACGAUAUAUUGCGCACAGUACCAUUCAGACCCACACAAGAUUCGUGCUAAUAUCUGCUCAACGCUACAAACAAUCUGCUACGGUGAAAAGCUAUUGGAUGAACUCUGAUGGUGCUGAUGUGGUUCUCCACAUGAUAGAUAACUUUCUUUUGUGACUAUCUACACAUUGGUGUCUUGCAGUGGGCAAUCCGGUGAUGGGUUAGAUUACUUGUUCCUUGUUUAUCAUGUAUAUUGUCACACAUAAUGACCACUGUAUGUUAUAAUGCCAAAUUUGGAAACAUAAUGAUUUUUGCCGAAAUUUUCAUACAUAUAUCAUUUUUAGCAUAUUUUGUGUAACAUUUUGAUGUGGCCCAUCUUAAGAGGGCCCAAUGCUAACCAGUGUAUCUAAAAGUAGAUAUCCUUAAGUUUGUGUGGAAUUACAUUCAGCAGUUACUAUAAGAAUUCAUCAGGUUCACUUGUUUUUUGUUAUUGAUUUUCAAUCAAUUUUUCAGUGUGUUGGAAGACUAAUCUGUGCGUUUGAGCAAUCUUCAUGGAGCAUUGUCUACCUCGAAAUAAACCACACAAACUUUAAGAGUUCCCAGUUGAUCAGACACAACUAUUUUGUUGGGGGACCAUCAAGAACCUCUCUGGAGCCGAAUUUAGAGACAUGAGAGCUAAGAGGAAGAAUAGUCAUUCAGUUGAUUCUUCCUCCCCGGGACUUUGCUGUAGUGGAACCAGAAUUGGGUAAUGCCCCUUUUAUUUUCAAUUCUUCUUCCAGCGCACCUGAUAUAACUUUUACAGACUAGUCACUAUGGUUGAUUUAGGAAUAAGUAAUCCAAAAUCCAUAAUCAUGAUCAGCUCCUCUGCAGAUUUUGAUAGUUCUAUGACAUGUGGACGUUACCUCAAUUACCUGAGUUUUUGCCACGUACAAUGGUGGGAAUCCGAUAUCCUGCAUUGUCGGGAGAGCAUGGGACAAUCUUUUAGCUUUCAACCUAUAGAGUCACAUCCUCUGCAAAAGCUUCAUUUUUCUUGUGGUUUCGUUGAUUGUAUGCUUGGACACAAGCAUUUUGCUUUCCGUUAUCCCAAAUUGACACAAAGGUUUAUGAAAAUAUUCUGUAUUGGAAGAAGGAAGCUUGCGUGUUUGAUGAACUCGGGUGCUGAUAGGUAAGACUUGCCUGGUCUUCAAAGCAGCCUGACAAAUCAAGGUCAUGCAACAUGCAACAUUACUACUAGCUUGAAAGCUUUGAUGAAACUCGUCUCAAUAUUUGCUACUUCAUGUAAUCAUCAGAUUCAUUGAAUUGAAAGCUUUAUGGCAAUCAUCCAAGUUGAUGUUUUCAUCA